CAGAGAAAGAAAAGGGAAGAUAAAAGAACCUAGGCUCCAACACCGACACCCUGCCACUGUGGCUGGUAAGAAAACACACAGGUGAGGGUCAUCAGGUGCUGCAUGAUAGCGAGUGCAAGCCAGCUCUGUAAACUCUUUAUCACUAAAGCAGCCUUACUGCCUUAGUGUCUGCAUCUUCUCUUCCUCUUCUGCUCAUUGGGUAAAGAAAAAAAAAAGAGUAACUGUCCUUCAGGUGGGAAGUGAUACUGAAGACCAUUAAGCUCAGCCCCACACUGUCCAUGAGUCCUCUAGGAUCUCCUCAUCACCCUCUGAACAACUGCAAGGCCAAGGAAAUGCCAUCACACAAAGCAGUCUGUUCCAAGUAGAAAUAACUGUUAAUGCACAUUUGAUUAUGACAAUGGUAAUGCUGUGUGCUAAUUCACAGCAGCCAUGAUUAAUGGAAGCAAGCUCUAAGAUCAGAUUAAUAUUUUACUUCCCCUCUCAGAGGCAGGAUAUUUUAGUGAGACAUAACCUCUUUUGCUUUUAUCUCCGAUGUAGGAGGCAACAUUUUCUUCUUCUAGCAGCUGAUGAAAUUUUCAGCCCUAUUUUAAUUUAAAAAAUUUAAUGGACAUAAUUAUUAAUCAAAAUAAAUAUUAAUAAACUCCAUUUAUAUUAUCUUGCACCUGUACUUUAGGCAGAAAUUCAGAGUAACUGAGGGUAAAGCCACUAUGGAUGAAUAGGUUUAAUUUAUAAGUAAAUAAAUAAACUCAUAAACUCAUUCUCAAUGGUUGAGAAUCAUUUAAAAAUAAGGUUCUUUAUUUUCACAAGGUAUAUAAUAACCAAGGCUCUGUUAAAUAUUUACCAUUCAACUGAAUUAGACUGUUUUUUAAAAAGAUUAAAAAUGAGGUCAUUUUAAAGUUGACUUAUUAACCAUUUAUAUCUGAAAGAAUAAUUUAUGCUCUCUAUUUAGACAUAUGAUCUACGAGUCUUAUUCAUCCCAAUUACAUUCUGAAGAAAGGAUUCAACUGCUAAGUAAAUGUAAAUGAAAGAUCAGACCCUCAGACUCUUAAGCCUGAGUGUCACCUUUAAGAUUUUAUCGAUUUAACUUGGUUUCUGAUGCUUGGCAAUUCCACAGGACGGACACAGCAACUCAGCUUCCUGACAAGCAAUCCUACGGCCGCCCUUCUGCGUCAGGCUCAGACCUCUGUCCAAGCUCUCCGGUUAGACACGAUCCCCUCAGGAGCCGCCCUCCAGCAGCAGGACCUCCAGAGUCCUCGCCGCCCAAGUCAACCACCUGAGUGGUGAAAGACCAGCCUUUGGAAAUCUCUGUGCCUCUUGCUCUACUCCACUGAGUUUACUGAAACAGAGGAGGAAGAGGCCGUGGCAGCAACCAGGCCGGGAUGCUAGGCCAGGGCAGGCCUGGUGGGCCCCGGCCGUCCUCUCCGCAGACCAACAAGCUGCCUCUUAGCACCUCUACCAAGGCCCAACUGGCCACGGAAGAAUUCUCACUGGCCUCUUACUCUCCUUGAUAAUAAGAGGGGCUGUCACAGAAGGAAUGCUGGACUGAGUGGAGAAGCCAUCUACUCUGGGCUGGCUUCACAAGGCCUGUGACUGGGCAAGUCUCAUUGCUCUGCACGUCUCAGUUCACCCUUCUAUAAAAUGGGAGACACUGAGAAUAAACUGCACCGACAGAGGGGAAAAUGUUAUAAAAAAGCAAUACUCUAUUUUUAACUUUCCUCAUUCUGUGCUGGGCACAUUUUAGUGGCAGCCUUUGCUGUAUGGUGUUGCUAUGUACUUUAUCCAACAAUUCAACAGUUGCCAUGGUUAAGUUUUCUGUCACUUCCUAAUGGCCUGAUGGAAAAUGCCUCUGGUUUUGGAAGCCCUGGUUUUAUGAGAAUCUCUGAGGGAAGGCCUGAAGCAGGAGUCAUCAGUGCCAUCGCUUCGCCAUAAAGGAUGAACACAUGGAUUGAGUGACAGAGAGUAGAUGAGUAGAUACGUGGUGGCCUGGAGAUGGGAGAGCUGUGAGAAACAAACAGGAGGGAUUACAGACGGCGUGAGGAAACUUCUGGGGCGGACGGAUUCUUAAAGGGUCCAAUGAUCUCCACAGAGUUAAGAACCACUGAUCUACAUCACUAUUUUUUAUGGCCGAAUGGACUAUUACUUAACGGUUCACCUGCUGAUGAACAUUUAGGUUUAUAAUUAUUCAAUAUUAUAAAUAACAACAUGACUUAUAUUCCUGUACAUAAAACUAUGGUCUGCUUAUUUCCUUAGGAUAAAUUCCUAGAAGAGGAGUUUUGAAAAAUUAAUGUGUAUAUUAAAUUACUGCCAAAUUGCCCUGCAAAAACAAAAAAAAGUACCAAAUGUGUAAAAGAACCAUGAUUUAACCACUGCGUAUAUGUGUGACAGACUGGAUCCAUUUUUCAGGAGCAUGGAAGACCCAUUGAGAGAGGUUCCCAAAGCAAGAUUCCUGGGCCACGUGUACCGAGCACGGAGGAAGUUAAAGGGCACUGCUGGGGAAAUGCUCAGAUCUCAGUGUGGCUUUACAAGUAAGAAGCGUUCUUCAGAAAGUCUUUAGCAAUGUUUCUGGAAACCAUCAUCUCACUACUUUGACCUCGGCCUGCUCAGAACAACUUAGCAGCUGACACACAAACAAUUAAAAGCAUCCAGGUGAAACUUCAAAGGGA